rnacentral:rRNA from 1 species
GUCUAUUGGCCGUGCCACCCCGAACAAGCCCGAUGUCUGAUCUCAGAAGCUAAUAAGCAGGGUCGGGCCUGGUUAGUACUUGGAUGGGAGACCAUCUAGGAAGACCAGGUACUGUAGGCA